GACUCCAUAGCUCAGUUGGUUAGAGCGUAGCACUGUUACUCGACUCUCACCCACAGUCAACGCAGCAUUACCCUUACCCGCCUGUUUCCCCUUCCCUAGGGUAAGGUAGGGGGGUCAAGAGGUUCGCUGCGCAUCAGAGGAGAGAUGCUGAGGUCGGCGGUUCGAGCCCGCCUGGGGUCG